CCGAAGAUUCAACAGAUGGCAAUGUAAUUUGACAUGUGUCUGGGUUACAAUUUUGACAAGUUUGUAUACAUUCUUUUCGUAUUAAACAAGCCUUUGUUUUAUAGACAUGUCUAAUAAUGAUUUUGUGACCUUGCCUAAACCUGAGCGUUCAUGAAACCUCGAUAAAUUGAGGUUGAUCGGAUUGGUCAGCUGUCGUACUCCUAACUACAAUGCAUUUACUGUUAAUUUGCCUAAUUCUGAAAGGUGUGUGAAGCCUCUCUAACCUAUAUUCAUUCUUCUCUGUUAGAUCUCAACAGGAGCCAUCUUAAUAGCCAGAAAAGAAUGUGGCAACAAGUUUAAACAAAAAACAUUUUCCAGAGUGCCACCACAAAAAAAGACGGAUGCCACUGCUAUUGGUGGGGGACCUCCACCUGAGGACCUCACACCCGCAGAGGAGCUGGCAUUGAGCUACAACCGGGGGUGCCCACUAAUAGAGGGAAUACAGGGGGGGACCUCCUCAGACAUCAUUCCCCAAGUGAGUGGCGACACUAUAUGUCUACUAGAUCCCCCAAUUCAAGAUGCCCGAGGCUUAUCUGACCCAUGUGGAGAUGUUUCCAGCCUCUGGCCCUUGAUGAGGAGACUUUAUGCAGUCACAGAGAUGCCAGAGGAUGUCUGUUCAAUAUACAAGCGUCAUCUGCUCAUUGCAAUGGAAAGGCGAAGCAGAAGGUCAUGGUUUGGACUGUAAUUAAAGUAUUUGUUUUUUGUCUUCAGAGGUUGAA